rfam:Solanum lycopersicum cultivar Heinz 1706 chromosome 1, whole genome shotgun sequence.
GCUGAGCUUAGUAACAUGGUCUUGUAACCCAAGUGGGGGCAUUAGUGUGGUUUAAUGUUGGGCUGUUCCAGAUGGUUGGGCCUGGUGGGCUAAUUUCUAGCCUGCCCUGUCCAAACAUAGAGCUGGGCCUUGCUAUCCAAUCGAAGGAAUGGGCUGCUGGGUUCCUAAAGUGGAGCGUACUGCGUGAGGCUGGUUUCACAGAGCAACGAACAGUUCCCGCUCUAUGUAGUGGUAAGAUAACGAGUCGGUACCCUCCUAAGUCCAAUAACGCCUGAUGGGCUGCUCCAAUUAAACCACCACUUUU